GGAAAGUCGCACGGUACAGGGUGAUAGUCCCGUACACAAAAAUGCAUAUGUUGUGAGUUCGAUGAGUAGGGCGGGACACGUGACAUCCUGUCUGAAUAUGGGGGGACCAUCCUCCAAGGCUAAAUACUCCUGACUGACCGAUAGUGAACCAGUACCGUGAGGGAAAGGCGAAAAGAACCCCGGCGAGGGGAGUGAAAUAGAACCUGAAACCGUGUACGUACAAGCAGUGGGAGCACCUUCGUGGUGUGACUGCGUACCUUUUGUAUAAUGGGUCAGCGACUUAUAUUUUGUAGCAAGGUUAACCGAAUAGGGGAGCCGUAGGGAAACCGAGUCUUAACUGGGCGAAUAGUUGCAAGGUAUAGACCCGAAACCCGGUGAUCUAGCCAUGGGCAGGUUGAAGGUUGGGUAACACUAACUGGAGGACCGAACCGACUAAUGUUGAAAAAUUAGCGGAUGACUUGUGGCUGGGGGUGAAAGGCCAAUCAAACCGGGAGAUAGCUGGUUCUCCCCGAAAGCUAUUUAGGUAGCGCCUCGUGAACUCAUCUUCGGGGGUAGAGCACUGUUUCGGCUAGGGGGUCAUCCCGACUUACCAAACCGAUGCAAACUCCGAAUACCGAAGAAUGUUAUCACGGGAGACACACGGCGGGUGCUAACGUCCGUCGUGAAGAGGGAAACAACCCAGACCGCCAGCUAAGGUCCCAAAGUCAUGGUUAAGUGGGAAACGAUGUGGGAAGGCAUAGACAGCCAGGAUGUUGGCUUAGAAGCAGCCAUCAUUUAAAGAAAGCGUAAUAGCUCACUGGUCGAGUCGGCCUGCGCGGAAGAUGUAACGGGGCUAAACCAUGCACCGAAGCUGCGGCAGCGACACUUAGGUGUUGUUGGGUAGGGGAGCGUUCUGUAAGCCGUUGAAGGUGACCUGUGAGGGUUGCUGGAGGUAUCAGAAGUGCGAAUGCUGACAUAAGUAACGAUAAUGCGGGUGAAAAACCCGCACGCCGGAAGACCAAGGGUUCCUGUCCAACGUUAAUCGGGGCAGGGUGAGUCGACCCCUAAGGCGAGGCUGAAAAGCGUAGUCGAUGGGAAACAGGUUAAUAUUCCUGUACUUGGUGUUACUGCGAAGGGGGGACGGAGAAGGCUAGGCUAGCCGGGCGACGGUUGUCCCGGUUUAAGCAUGUAGGCGGAGUGACUUGGUAAAUCCGGUUGCUUAUCAACGCUGAGGUGUGAUGACGAGUCACUACGGUG
rnacentral:rRNA from 1 species